rnacentral:lncRNA from 1 species
UUCAUUUUUUUACAUAAAUAAGGCCGUUAGUUUUCUCGUUUGAAUUGUUUUACAUUGUCUUAUCGGGGCCUAUUAUAGCUGACUAUGCAGUAUGGGCUUUGCUCAUUGUUGAAGGCCGUACGUUGACCUAUAGUUGUUAAUGUCUGUGUCAUUUUGGUCUUUUGUGGAUAGUUGUCUCAUUGGCAAUCAUACCACAUCUUCUUUUUUAUAUUGAUCCUCUGUUC